UGCUGCUACAGUUGGUGCUGGCCUGCCCGCGGAGCCCCAGCCCCGGAGCCCCUGCCGCGGCCCAGCUGGCAGCCAUGGCGGCAGCCCUCGCCUUCAGCCUGAGCCGCGGUCGCCCCGCAGCCCAUCUCCAAGCAGCCUGCUCCGUCCUGGAUUCCGCCAUCUCUGUCCCAGCACGCCUCCCUGAGGUUCCAGAAAGCCCUCCGAGUCAGGCUAUGGAUACCCAAUGCUAGUGUAGCAUCCACAGGCCCACCGGGGCUUUUCACGACCCAGGCCCUCAACUCCCACACGGCCCGCGGCGCAGGCCUGGCCUGGGAGAGGCCCUCAUCCCCGGACCACCACAGCCAAGGAGCCUGAGCACACCCAAGGCUCCAGGGCCCAGACGUCUUCUUGGAAGUGGCAGGCCUCAGUUUCCCUGUGUGCAGAAGGGCCAUAAAGGAGAUUCAGAAGUAUCUGACUCUAAUAAACGUCCACUGAACACACGGCCUGUGAAUGUCCUGGACCCUGACUCAUCAUGAAGAAGCAGGUGCGUGGACACCUGGAGGCACCGGUUCCGCAGAGAUGCUGCUGUGGGGGAGACCCAUCCGCCUUCUCGGGGCCUACAGCCCAGUGCAGGAGGCAGACCAUGAAUGGUCCGUUACUCUGUGGAGUGAUGGGGUGUGG
rnacentral:lncRNA from 1 species